ACACCUCAACUCUCAUGGUUUGCCGUGACGAGCUUGGACCUUGGGGGUUUUGCUGGCCUUUGUGGUCGGCUCCUCUCAAAUGAAUCAGCCUCCCAGUGUUUGGUGGCAUCACAGGUGUGAUAACUAUCUACGCUUGUUGUUGUACACCAGGUAACCUUCAGAGAUGGAGGUUCGCUGGAGCUCACAGAUGUCUCUCCUCAGCGAGGACAGCUUUUUAAC
rnacentral:misc_RNA from 1 species